rnacentral:rRNA from 1 species
GACGAAGGGGGCUAGCGUUGUUCGGAAUUACUGGGCGUAAAGCGAGUGUAGGUGGUUGUCCAAGUUGGAUGUGAAAGCCUUGAGCUCAACUCAAGAAAUGCAUUCAGGACUGGAUGACUAGAGGACCGGAGAGGAUAGUGGAAUUCCCAGUGUAGUGGUGAGAUACGUAGAGACCCGGAGGAACACCAGUGGCGAAGGCGGCGUCCUGGCCUGCGACUGACGCUGUGGCGCGAAAGCUAGGGGAGCGAACGGG